rnacentral:rRNA from 1 species
AGCGAACGCUGGCGGCGUGGCUAAGACAUGCAAGUCGAACGGACCGCAAGGUCAGUGGCGGAAGGGUGAGUAAUGUAUGGGCAACCUGCCCCGGACAGGAGCAUAGCCAACCGAAAGGUUGGGUAAUUCUCCAUGACGUCUUCUGGGGGCAUCUCCGGAGGACCAAAGGUCCGCCGGUCCGGGAGGGGCCCAUAUCCCAUCAGCUAGUUGGCGGGGUAACGGCCCACCAAGGCUGCAACGGGUAGCCGGACUGAGAGGUCGGCCGGCCACAUCGGGACUGAGACACUGCCCGGACUCCUACGGGGGGCUGCAGUAACGAAUCUUCCGCAAUGGGGGCAACCCUGACGGAGCGACGCCGCGUGCGGGACGAAGUCC